rnacentral:rRNA from 1 species
UACCAGCGGUCCAAGUGGUUGCCGCGUUUAUUGGGUCUAAAGCAUUCGUAGCCGGUUUGGAAAAUCUCUCGUGAAAUCUUGUCUCUUAAGGG